AUUGAACGCUGGCGGCAUGCCUUACACAUGCAAGUCGAACGGUAACAGGUCUUCGGAUGCUGACGAGUGGCGAACGGGUGAGUAAUACAUUGGAACGUGCCUAGUAGUGGGGGAUAACUACUCGAAAGAGUGGCUAAUACCGCAUGAGAUCUACGGAUGAAAGCAGGGGAUCGCAAGACCUUGUGCUACUAGAGCGGCCGAUGGCAGAUUAGGUAGUUGGUGGGAUAAAAGCUUACCAAGCCGACGAUCUGUAGCUGGUCUGAGAGGACGAUCAGCCCCACUGGGACUGAGAAACGGCCCAGACUACUACGGGAGGCAGCAGUGGGGAAUUUUGGACAAUGGGCGCAAGCCUGAUCCAGCAAUGCCGCGUGCAGGAUGAAGGCCUUCGGGUUGUAAACUGCUUUUGUACGGAACGAAAAGCCCCGGGUUAAUACCCUGGGGUCAUGACGGUACCGUAAGAAUAAGCACCGGCUAACUACGUGCCAGCAGCCGCCGUAA
rnacentral:rRNA from 1 species